GACGAACGCUGGCGGCGUGCUUAACACAUGCAAGUCGAACGGAAAGGCCCUGCUUUUGUUGGGUGCUCGAGUGGCGAACGGGUGAGUAACACGUGAGUAACCUGCCCUUGACUUUGGGAUAACUCCAGGAAAAUGGGGAUAAUACCGGAUAGGAUCUCCUGCUGCAUGUGGGGGGUUGGAAAGUUUCGGCGGUUGGGGAUGGACUCGCGGGUUAUCAGCUUGUUGGUGGGGUAGUGGCUUACCAAGGCUUUGACGGGUAGCCGGCCUGAGAGGGUGACCGGCCACAUUGGGACUGAGAUACGGCCCAGACUCCUACGGGAGGCAGCAGUGGGGAAUAUUGCACAAUGGGCGGAAGCCUGAUGCAGCAACGCCGCGUGCGGGAUGACGGCCUUCGGGUUGUAAACCGCUUUCGCCUGUGACGAAGCGUGAGUGACGGUAAUGGGUAAAGAAGCACCGGCUAACUACGUG
rnacentral:rRNA from 1 species